AUUUAUGUGAUGCGUGUUGUUGCUGCGGUGGUUCAUUUAAUUUUGUGUGUUUUUGAAAGUGUGUAUUGAAAUUGUAUAUUGAGUAGUUUUAGACAGUGGCAUCAGAUGAUCAGGUCCACACAGAUGAUCAGGUCCAUCAGGUCCACACAGAUGAUCAGGUCGAUGAUCAGGUCCACACAGAUCAGCAGACCAGAGUCCCCAGACAGGAGGCGCUAACAGAGAGAAGCUGCCGACAUCACCAGUCCAUCGGAGGACACGUUGAGCCGAGCGGAGCCGAGGAGCCUCUUCACCAGACUGGUUUCGGUUCCACUCCCUCAUCAUCACCAUCCGUGGAAACGCAGCCAGGCAACACUGUGGAGAAACUUGAGCUGCUGUAAUGGAGAGAACAGGGAGGAGACUGGAUCAGAUGUAGAUCAGUUCUUCAUGUGGGACAGAGACAGACUCAGGGCUGCCGGGACGUGGAGUUCUUUAUGGGAUGCGUGAGAAGGAGAAGAGGAGGAGAGGACAGGCCCGAUGGGUACAGCGUGUUCAGUUUGUUUAGUAAACUAUCAGCCCGGAAAUAACAAGGAGCUAACGUCACUGGUCAAGCCUGAGCUGCACGCACACUGGAGAUAGG